UUGGUUGCAUAGUUUUCAAACCUUUUGUUGCUCAGGAUUUUGCUUCUUCGCUCGAGCGGCACUUCUUGUGCUCGAGGGGGCUUGGUGAACUGUCAGUACUUUUGCAGGUCAAUAAAACUACUGAGAGAGUGUAUUCUACGCUCGAGCGCCGUUUCCUACACUCGAGCGGGUGGGUGCUCGAGCAGCCUUUCUUGCACUCCAACGUUGGCCUACUGUCUGCAAAACUACUGGGAGUGUGCAUUCUAUGCUCGAGCGACACUUUUUGUGCUCGAGCGAACAAUUUAUUGUGUUUAACGCUUGAGUGUCAACUUUGGGGCUCAAGCGGACUAUGCGUAUAUCAGUUCAUAACAACCACUUUUUACAUCAUUUUUUCAUCUCUUUCUCUCUCUAAAACAUUUCAAAAUCCUAGAUCUUGAGCUUCUCUUUCUAAAGCUCACAUUCUCGUUACAUUUUCACCUAGAUCUGUUGGUUUCUCUACCCUAGUGUCUUUGGAAAAAAAGGUAGAGCAUCUUAAGAGCUCCAUUUUGAUUCGAACAAAAGUCAGUUUCAACGUCUUUGAAGUUUUCCCCUUGCUUGCUCAUCUUCUAACUUUGAGGUGCUGGUGAUAUGCCUCUGCUAAGGACUUAGCUUGGGAGGAUUGUGGCGCUGAAGGCUCACUUUUGUUUACUUUGUAUUUAUCUUUUGUGCAAGCUUAGGACUUUAUUUGUAUUGAGCUUAUGACUCAUUUUGUUGUAACCAAGCAUGGUCUUGGAAAGAUGUAAGCCAUUAGGGCAUAUGACUAUCUGUUUAGCUUCCAUUCUUUAUUUCAUCUUGUAACACAUGCUGUAGAUUCAGGAUGAAUGAUUUAUGAAUGUAUAUCACAUGUGUCAUCUUUUGUA